CCGCUUCUUUUCGCCGCAGCCGCACUAGGGAGAGGAGAACGACGACCGAAGGAGACGGACGUUUUCUGUCGACAUCUGCGUUCUCGAACCACAGAGCACACGCCACCACCACAGGACCGAGAGCAGCCUCCCUAUCUAGCCACACAUAUCUUUAUCUAUCUAGAUACGUAAUACCAAAGGGCAACGACGAGGGGAAGCGCACAGGGAAAGGGUGUAUCACUCCUGCAUGCGACGUGAUGCCGUAGAGGUGAUAUCGAAGUCGUUGGUGCGUGCGCGCUUGCUUUCGUUUUAUCGUGGUAGAGCGUUCAAUUUUUAUUUUAUUGUCUCUCAUAGAGCGCCGACCGCUCGAGCGCAAACCCUAUCGCGUACACCCACCGUACGUACACGGGCACACAGACACACGCCUGUUCCCCCCCCCACACACACACAUAUAUAUAUAUAUACAGACGUACAUAGACGUACCUCCCCCAUCCCCUCCUUCUUGCAGCGAGUCUUCCCGGCCAACGCGUGCACGCACGCACGAACUACAGACGGCAACGAAAUACAUAAGGAAAAGACAGCAACCACACGAUAGCAACGGUUUUCUGUCAAGGGUGGGGCGCUCUCCCUCCACCGCUCUCUGGUGUGUGUCCUGCGACGGGGGCAAAAUAGGCGAGAGAAGCGCGCACGUACCGCUGCGGAUACGCAACGGCCCGUGCUGCGACGACGGCCACCACCACCGCUGUGCGCUUUCUCGCAUCUUUUUUUGUGUGCGUGUGUCUCGGUGCCCGCCAUGUCCUCGCUGGAGGCACUCUUGAGCUCGCCGACGGACGUCAUCGCCGAGUGUCCUGUCAUUGGCCCCGGCGAUGUGCGGCUGGUGGCCGCCAAUCUUGAGGCCAUCUUGAACAAGUGUCUCUACUGCGUCCGCCGGACGCUGCCCGGUCCGUUGGAGGUGCUGCUCACCGUUAUGGGUGACGCCAGCGACCUUCAGGCAAAUAAAGUGUGUGCGGGUCUGCUGCAGCCCGCCGAGGAGGGCACCUGCGCGGACGUCUUUUGCGACUUGGCGGAGCAGCUGCUGGCGCGCCGAGCCGCGGUCAUUCGCCUGCAGUUCGAUGUGGAGGUGUUCUUCAAGGUGACGCAGGUGUUUUGCUGUGCCGCGCCGCUCAAGGAUCGACUCGGCGCACGCCUUGGUGAGGUGCUGUUGGGCUUCUUGAGGGACGUUGACAUGCACGCCGACGACUACCGCGUACACCGCAACUGCUGCAGCGCCCUCAUCUCCCUCCUGCGCGGGUCGCAGGAGAAUAAGAACCGCUUCGGCCCCGAGUGCGCCACGAUCGCCGCCUGCCUCGACGCCUCGAGUGACUUCUUCUUCCAGAUGCAGUGUGUCGAGGUGCUCUACCGGCUGUACAAGCAUCGUAGCUCCUUCCUAGCCCAUGCUGCGGCGCCGGCCACGUCCACGUCAUUAUCCUCGUCGUCGGCCAACGCGAUGACGUUGGGUGUGGCCAUCAACCCAUAUCUGCUGCGAGGCAUCGAGGCGCUGCCCAACGACAGCACGCUUCUGCUUUGUAUUCAUCAACUGCUGGACAGCUACAACCGUGACGUGCACCCAGACAAGGUCAUAUCAUUUUCGGUUCUGAGCAUCGAGGUGGGGGACGUGACGAUGGCGCGCGCGACGACGCUGUACUUCUCGCCGUUGUUGUUGGUCGUGCUGCUUCCCGACACCAGUAGCAGCAGCCGCGGUGGCGGUGGCGGCUACCUCACGAUCCCCUACGAGCACGUCCGCUCCGUCAAGUUGACGAAGGACCACAAGCUGGAGCUGCGCCUGUAUGUCAUUCCACAAAAACUGUCGCACGUGAUGAGCUUGGCGCAGGACGGGAUGGACAAGCUCCACGUUUCGCUGACCCGCGCCACCAUGCGCGAACUGCGCACGUCUGCCGUGCAUGAGUGGGUGGCAGAGCGGAAGCGCACGGCGCCGCGCCGCGUGACAGCGCCGGCACCACCCCCGUUACGCCGGACAGAGGCGGCAGGAGCUGGCCAUGCCCUGCCCGCCGCCUCGUCAACUUCGCCCGCACCGCCAUCGUCCUCCCACGCGAGCAGCCGUGCAGGCUCCACCGCGCGUCCGCUGCUGACGACGACCAUGACGGAGCGGCAGGUGAAUACGCAUCAGGGCGUCGGCACAGGCAGUCAGCAACAACCACUCGCGCGGGGCGAGCUGCCGCACCCACAGCUCGUGGAGGCAGUACAGCAGCAGCAGCAGCAGCAGGCUCAACAGGAACAGGGUGGACCAGCGUACGUGAACAGCAGCGGUGGCUACGCCGCCGCGGACAAGGAGGCAGGGGGGCAGUGCGAGCGCCCAUGCCUAGAAGAGGUGCACCGUGCUGCCUCGCUCAAGGCGAUGCGUUACCGGGAGGAACAGCACGAGGCGCUGCAGCACGCCGUGGACUCGGCGAAGGAGGAGCUGGAGGCGCUGCAUCGCUGGAGCGCGCGGGAGCGUGACCAGUACGAGGUGCGCUUCCGCGAAGACAUGGAAGUGAUACGGCGGUCGGAAGCAGUGCUGAAGGAGAGCGCCACGGACUGCGUGCGGGCGUUGAACACGGAACUGGAGGACGUGCAAGCCCUCGGUGCUCUCCUGAAAGGUGAGGUAGACAAGCUGCGGGAGCAACUCGCCAAGUCGCUCGGCAAGUCGGAGGGCGUCGAGGAGGCGCUCCUAGCGCGAAUCAAACACACAGUCGAUGCCCAGAUGCGCAGUAUCGAGGCGACGAUGCUCUCGGUGGACUCGGCAGCCUCCUCCUCGACUGGCGCCGGUGGCGGCUCAAUUAGCGACGUCUCAAACUACAUUGCACAGCAGAUGCAGGCUAUCAGCAGCGGCGCGCUUGUGGUGGGUGCCGCUGGUGCUCGAGCGAGCACUGCUGCUGCUGCCGGUGGUGGGAGCGCGGUCAUCUCCUCUGCACGAGGCACCGGCAGCGGGCGAGCUGGGAAGGCACGGCAUGAGCCGCAGCUGCAGCCGCUGAAGGAGCGCCGUCUGGACUACUCGUGAGCCUCCACAAAAUGAAGUUUUGAAGAGAAGUAUGCAGAUAUCCCUCAUGGUUCAGCGGCUCACCAUCAUCCCCCCCUCCCCGCCGCUGAUGCUGUAGCCUCUUGUUUCUUCAAGCGCUGCCGACUGUGUUGCUGAUGGAGUUGGCUCUUCGCUGCUCGCAGUCUUUGUGCGUGUGUGUGCGUGCGUGCUUGGGUCUUCCGCUCGUUCGUGCAGGUCGUGCCUGGCGAGUGACCUCACAGGUAUAUUACCCGUGCAGAGAUAGAGAUGGGGAGGGGAGGGUGUGAGUGCACGCUGGCACUGGCAUGUGCAUGCACAAACCUGCAGUCAGCAUGCGAAUCGCACGUACGCGCGCACCCAUGGAACGGGGAGAUGAACGAAAAUGAGCAAGCUAUAUGGGGAGGCGGGAGGGUGCGGGGAGGGGUGGCGCAGAGCCGACGUUAGUGACGGUGGAGGUGAUGAUGAUGGCGAUGCGCGGCGGUGUGCGCUUAAGCACCGCAACAAGAACAACAACAACAAAAAACUAGAAAGCAUGAUCGAAAGUGCCACUCCUCUCCAACAUGCUCCCUCGUUCUCGCACCCCACCACGCGCGUUACCGUCUCUACGUGUGUGUGUGUGUGUGUGUGUGUAGGUAUUGCACAUACGCCCCUCACCGUGCCACCACCACCACCAUCACCUUCCUCCCUCUUUGUGUAUUCGGGUUGUCUGUCGUGUGACCCUCUCCUAUUCACACAACCGCGGCAUCCACCGUACCCAAG
rnacentral:misc_RNA from 1 species